rnacentral:misc_RNA from 1 species
GUUCCGUAGGUGAACCUGCGGAAGGAUCAUUAUCAUGUAAUUCAGUCCCCUUGGCUGUGUUAUAUAUAUACCCACUCUGUGUACCUUCUCCUGUUGCUUCCGCUGGGUGUGUAAUUCGCCCGGCGGAAGGGUAAAAAUAACCUCUGAGUAUUGAUGAAAUCUCUGUCUGAACCGAAUAGAAAGAAAAAUGUUAAAACUUUCAGCAACGGAUCUCUUGGUUCUG